rnacentral:rRNA from 1 species
UUGCUCCUGGAUUCGCGGCGGACGGGUGCGUAAUGCCUAGGAAUCUGCCUGGUAGUGGGGGACAACGUUUCGAAAGGAACGCUAAUACCGCAUACGUCCUACGGGAGAAAGCAGGGGACCUUCGGGCCUUGCGCUAUCAGAUGAGCCUAGGUCGGAUUAGCUAGUUGGUGGGGUAAUGGCUCACCAAGGCGACGAUCCGUAACUGGUCUGAGAGGAUGAUCAGUCACACUGGAACUGAGACACGGUCCAGACUCCUACGGGAGGCAGCAGUGGGGAAUAUUGGACAAUGGGCGAAAGCCUGAUCCAGCCAUGCCGCGUGUGUGAAGAAGGUCUUCGGAUUGUAAAGCACUUUAAGUUGGGAGGAAGGGCAGUAAGCUAAUACCUUGCUGUUUUGACG